rnacentral:rRNA from 1 species
GUGCAAGCGUUAAUCGGAAUUACUGGGCGUAAAGCGCACGCAGGCGGUUUGUUAAGUCAGAUGUGAAAUCCCCGCGCUUAACGUGGGAACUGUAUUUGAAACUGGCAAGCUAGAGUCUUGUAGAGGGGGGUAGAAUUCCAGGUGUAGCGGUGAAAUGCGUAGAGAUCUGGAGGAAUACCGGUGGCGAAGGCGGCCCCCUGGACAAAGACUGACGCUCAGGUGCGAAAGCGUGAGGAGCAAACAGGAUUAGAUACCCUGGUAGUCCACGCUGUAAACGAUGUCGACUUGGAGGUUGUGCCCUUGAGGCGUGGCUUCCGGAGCUAACGCGUUAAGUCGACCGCCUGGGGAGUACGGCCGCAAGGUUAAAACUCAAAUGAAUUGACGGGGGCCCGCACAAGCGGUGGAGCAUGUGGUUUAAUUCGAUGCAACGCGAAGAACCUUACCUACUCUUGACAUCCACGGAAUUCGCCAGAGAUGGCUUAGUGCCUUCGGGAACCGUGAGACAGGUGCUGCAUGGCUGUCGUCAGCUCGUGUUGUGAAAUGUUGGGUUAAGUCCCGCAACGAGCGCAACCCUUAUCCUUUGUUGCCAGCACGUAAUGGUGGGAACUCAAAGGAGACUGCCGGUGAUAAACCGGAGGAAGGUGGGGAUGACGUCAAGUCAUCAUGGCCCUUACGAGUAGGGCUACACACGUGCUACAAUGGCAUAUACAAAGAGAAGCGAACUCGCGAGAGCAAGCGGACCUCAUAAAGUAUGUCGUAGUCCGGAUUGGAGUCUGCAACUCGACUCCAUGAAGUCGGAAUCGCUAGUAAUCGUAGAUCAGAAUGCUACGGUGAAUACGUUCCCGGGCCUUGUACACACCGCCCGUCACACCACGGGAGUGGGUUGCAAAAGAAGUAGGUAGCUUAACCUUCGGGAGGGCGCUUACCACUUUGUGAUUCAUGACUGGGGUGAGGUCGU